GCCCAUGUAAUAAUCAACCAAAAUGGUAUUUCAGCCCAUUAAAUUUCAGUCGGUUGAUGGCCCACUGAUUUUGGCCGACAAAUUAGCCCAUCUCAUAUUUCUCUUGUUCUAUGCAAACUUUCAGCCAACACAAUUUUGCAAAUGAUGGAAAAUACAACAGAACUUAAAAUUACAGACAUUUCUGAAUAAUACACAUAUGGAGGAGCAAAACGAAGACAUUCAAUCUACAACGGGUCCUAGAAAUUCUCAGGCGGAGAGCACCAUUUUGGAGAUCCAUCCAUCACUGUCAUCAUCUGAGACACGCCACAUCGUCUGCCAUAUCGCCUCGACCAUGCUCUUGGGCAUCCCAUCUCCACCGACGAGAACAAGUUGAACCGUCGUUCUCUGCACAUGGACAACCAAAAACUGCCUCCAAAAAUCAGAAGUAAAACAGAGGCAACUGGAGCUGGGGUGGGGCAAGCGCCUCACAGCUCCAAGGUCGGCGAAAAAAUCGGUGGUGAGGACGCCAUAGCAGACGGACGCGGGCCCGUGACAAUGAAGGGUCGGCAGCGUCCAAACACGGCACAUCCCCACGGUGGCAGGUUGGCGCAGCCCCCUCGGCCAGGCACCUUGGGAGUGAUAGCUCAAUGCAGCUUAGCGUGCCAGCAUCGAACGAAGGGGGUUUGACUCCACCUGCACAUGAUGUGGGGGGGGGAUUAGGAAAAGAAAUCGGCUCGGUGGUUCAGUGAGUGCUGAACCAAGAUGCCUCUGUUGUGGCUCAAUGAUUAACCAUCUCACCAGUGCCAUAUCCUGCCGGCCACCGCGGGAAGUGGAGGUCGUCGCUUCGGAGGCAACACCCACCGCGACGCAGCUCUCAGGGACGGGUCGCUGCCCCCCGGCGUCCAAACGCGCAACUCCCGGACGGUGUGGGGGCGGCCUGGACGUCGUGCCGACGGUGCGUGUCCGGUGCCCUGAUGAGGCCUCUGAGCCGAGAGGAGCUCGGAGCCUGGGAGGGGAGGGGAGGGUAGGAGGCGACUGGAGAAGGAGACAAGGAAGGAAGGUGCUGGAACCCGGCGGCUAUGGGGGAGGGAGAAAGAAAAGGGAUAUGG
rnacentral:lncRNA from 1 species